GCGCUGCCUGUGAGCCCCGGUGCACCUUCCCCUGGUGCUGGGGGUCAGGCUGGGGAGCUGGCACAUAACGAGCAGUCUGCCCAUCGCGGGUGGCCCUUUUAACCGCUAGUUACAGGC